rnacentral:rRNA from 1 species
GAGGAUGCGAGCGUUAUCCGGAUUUAUUGGGUUUAAAGGGUGCGUAGGCGGACUGUUACGUCAGCGGUCAAACUGCGGGGCUCAACCCCGUACUGCCGUUGAAACUGGCGGUCUUGAGUGAGCGAGAAGUAUGCGGAAUGCGUGGUGUAGCGGUGAAAUGCAUAGAUAUCACGCAGAACUCCGAUUGCGAAGGCAGCAUACCGGCGCUCAACUGACGCUGAGGCACGAAAGCGUGGGGAUCGAA